rnacentral:misc_RNA from 1 species
ACCCAAUUGAAAUUCACAGCUUAAUACUCGUACCUCUCGCAAAUCCAUACAACACAUCAAUCCUAGAUAUAAUCACAAACUAAUUCAAAAGCCUCAAAAGUUCAAUAAGAAAACAAACACAACUAAAAACAAAAAAAAAGAAGAAGAAGAUAAUGAAAAAUUAGAUAAAAGCAGCAGCAUAAGAACUAAGAAAGGCUUGGAAAUGAAGAUACAUGCAGCAGUUGGGAGAACCACAAAAGUCAUCUUCUCUUCCCACCAGAA